rfam:Myotis davidii contig53780, whole genome shotgun sequence.
GGCAGUUCUCAAGCGACACACCCAGGAAUCAGGCUCCCUCCUCUGGCUCCAGGUGCGUCACUCAAGUAUCACA